GGCGAUGGCCUCGCGCCAGUGCUGGGCGCGGCACCCCCGCGUGGGCCUGUGUUGGGCGGCUUUUGAGCAGGAGUCCGGGCCCUCGUGUCACCGCUCUGAAGUCAAGGAGGGCCGAGAACUACUGGUGGCGUGGCCAGAACACACGGACGCUGUGUGUGGGGCCCUUCCCUCGCAACGUGGUGACCUCCGUGGCCGGCCUGUCGGCCCAGGACAUCAGCCAGCCCCUGCAGAACAGCUUCAUCCACACAGGGCAUGGCGACAGUGACCCCCGCCACUGCUGGGGCUUCCCGGACAGGAUUG
rnacentral:ncRNA from 2 species